GACGAACGCUGGCGGCGUGCCUAACACAUGCAAGUCGAGCGGAGUCGAUCGACGGAAGCCUUCGGGCGGAAGAUGGUUGACUUAGCGGCGGAUGGGUGAGUAACGCGUGGGCAACCUGCCUCGAAGACCGGGAUAACAGCCCGAAAGGGCUGCUAAUACCGGAUGUGGUCAAGGAUCCGCAUGGAUUUUUGAUUAAAGGGGAAACCCGUUUCGAGAUGGGCCCGCGUCCUAUCAGCUAGUUGGUGAGGUAAAAGCUCACCAAGGCGACGACGGGUAGCCGGCCUGAGAGGGUGACCGGCCACACUGGAACUGAGACACGGUCCAGACUCCUACGGGGGCAGCAGUGGGGAAUCUUCCACAAUGGGCGAAAGCCUGAUGGAGCGACGCCGCGUGAGCGAAGAAGGCCUUCGGGUUGUAAAGCUCUGUCUGGAGGGACGAAGGAAGUGACGGUACCUCCGGAGGAAGCCACGGCUAACUACGUGCCAGCAGCCGCGGUAAAUCACGUGUA
rnacentral:rRNA from 1 species